AAACCCUUCGUUUUCAGGAGAAUCAAAUGAACCCAUCCAUCUUCGAGAAGCUACGAAGAAUGCACCUAGAUUUUCGUCUUCCCUUUUGAAUCAUAUAGGAGUAUUACAUUUCACUCCCACAAAAUCUCUCUGCAAAAACCAAAUUCACCUCUCUCUCUCUCUCUCUCUCUCUAUUUUCCAUGGCCAAGACUCGACCUGGAAAACGUGACUUGGACUCUUACACCAUUAGACGCACCAACAAAGUUGUCAGAGCUGGAGACUGUGUGUUGAUGCGACCAUCAGAAGGCGAUACUGCUCCAUAUGUGGCACGUGUAGAAAAACUCGAAGCCGAUAACCGCAACAAUAUAAAGGUGCAUGUUAGAUGGUAUUACCGGCCAGAGGAGUCACUGGGAGGACGGAGACAGUUUCAUGGAGCAAAGGAGUUAUUCUUGUCUGACCACUAUGAUGUCCAAAGUGCCCACACUAUAGAUGGGAAGUGCAUUGUUCACUCUUUCAAGAACUAUACUAAGCUUGAGAAUGUUGGUCCAGAGGAUUACUACUGCCGGUUUGAGUAUAAAGCGGCAACUGGAGCUUUUGUGCCAGAUCGCGUUGCAGUGUAUUGCAAAUGCGAGAUGCCAUAUAAUCCAGAUGAUUUAAUGGUACAAUGUGAGGAGUGCAAGGACUGGUAUCAUCCAGCCUGUGUGGGCCUGACUGGUGAACAAGCUAAACAAAUUGAUGACUUUGUUUGUUCCGAAUGCUCAUCCGAAGAUCUGAAGAAGUCUCAUAAUACUUAUGCUGCAUCCCCUCUGUCUAAUGGCAAGUCCGAGACGACAAGAUGAUAGUUUCCAAAACACUGUCAAAACACACUUACUGGAGGACAGACUCUUUUCUUGAACUUAGUGGUUGAGCCGAAGCGCCAGAAGAGAUAGGUGGAGCUGUGGUAAGAUGGAUGAAGCCAGUUUUCUUCAUGUUUUGGAUGCUCAUCUAGAUUUUGUACAGUGCAAUGAACCGUAACUAUGUUCUUUGCAUAGAUUAGCUGGUAUCUGUUAUGUCUUCCUUAUCAGUAGUUCUUGUAUGUACUAGAAGAUUGGAAGACGACUCUUCAAAAAUACUGUUAGAUUAACAAGACUUUCUUUUGAAGUUGAAUCCGACAUUUAGUGUGAAAGCAUCAA